AACUUGGUAUAGGUAGUGGGGGAUGGUGGGCACAGAGUUUCCAUUGCCUCCUAUGGAAGAUACAAGGAAGGAGUUAAAUCAGUUCUGGGCUCUGCCCUCUUGUGUGGCCUGGUUUGCCCUCUCCUUCCUUUCCUCGGUCCCCUAGUCUCCCCCGCUCUCACAUACUCUUCUCAGCCGCCUCCCAAACCAGCCCUGCAGUCUGAUGAACGUUCUAGAGUAAGUGGACCCCAGAUGGACGCUCUGGCCACAGUUUGUAGAGAAUUUGGACCAGGCAAGCCUCACUCUUAGAGAAGAAAGAGAUGCAGACAGAAUCCAAGGCCUAUUGUUGCAUUCUCUGCUUGGGCCAGGCCCUGAGUUCAGGCCUUACCUUGACCUCCUCCUCCAGCUGCCUCUUGAGGUCCUCCAGCUGCUGGGUAUACGUGAGCUUGCCUCGGGUCAGCUGAGAGAUAAGAGCCUCCUUCUCAUCCAGCUGUCUGGACAGCUCCCCUGGGGAGGCAUCAAGGUACCUUCAGCCCCUCUUCACCCUCAACCCAGCCCCUAAUCCUUAGGCUCCCUUCUCUGGAGAGGCUGCGGGCACGUGAGCAGCGUGUACGCCCAAGGCCAGGAUGCUCAGGAGGUUGGGGGUCACGGAGCUCCAGCCCUGGACUCACCAUUCUCUGUCUGCAGCUUGGCCCGCUGGCUGGUGAGGUCAUUGACAGAACGCUGUGUCUCCUCAGCCUUGCUCCGGUGUUCAUUCAUCUGGUCCUCCAGGGUCCGGCACAUCUUCUCC